UGCUAUAAUUAAGUCGUAGAUUACAGUUAAUAUACUAGAUUAUGUUUUGUUUAUAGUUACUUAUAUAGUUUUUAUAUUCGACCUAGACAGGUUGUGUGCGUCUUCUAGUUUCAUCUUCAUUGCCAUUGAUCUUUAUGUAACCAAAACAUAAUUCAUUUACAACAAGUUUCAAAUUGUUAAAUAUGGAACAAGACCCAAAAAUUAAUGGAAGUGGUACAAUAAUUUACCAUCAUUUUGAUUGCCU
rnacentral:lncRNA from 1 species